CAGUCGCCGCGGGAAUACGUAGGGUGCGAGCGUUAAUCGGAAUUACUGGGCGUAAAGCGUGCGCAGGCGGUUUGUUAAGACAGAUGUGAAAUCCCCGGGCUUAACCUGGGAACUGCAUUUGUGACUGGCCGGCUAGAGUAUGGCAGAGGGAGGUGGAAUUCCACGUGUAGCAGUGAAAUGCGUAGAUAUGUGGAGGAACACCGAUGGCGAAGGCAGCCUCCUGGGCCAAUACUGACGCUCAUGCACGAAAGCGUGGGGAGCAAACAGGAUUAGAUACCCCUGUAGUCCCUGUCUCUUAUAA
rnacentral:rRNA from 1 species